rnacentral:misc_RNA from 1 species
CGGCAAGUAAUUCAGCGUGGUGACGAUCGACCAGCGGUCCAUCUGCCCCUGGUUGAUCUGCUGGGUACCGUGAUAGAGGCCCGACGUGUCGCCGAGACCGAUGGUGUUGGCGGGCGGGAGAACGCCGGAUGCGGCUUGAUGACCUUGUUCUGGUCGAGCAGCGUGAGGCGGCCGGAGACUUCGAGCACGCGCUGGAUCACGAACAUCACGUCCGGGCGGCCGGCAUCGU